GUUAGGUGCCUGGGUCAAGAAGCUUCACCUUUCUGAGAAUGGGAAGAACAAGGGGAAAAAUUAGAAAGAACAAUGCCAACAUCCAAGAUUUAGUGGUAGGAGUAGAAAGAUCCAACAACAGCAUUACUCAAACAGGUCCAUAAAAUCCAAGAAUGAAGGGGAAAAGAGGGGGAGAGACAGAAGUUUGUUGGACAGGUAUGGGUCUGUCUCCUCUAUGUCUUAUCAUGCAGUCCUAUCUGCAGGGGAAAAAAAACACACACA